rnacentral:rRNA from 1 species
CCAAUAGCGUAUAUUAAAGUUGUUGCAGUUAAAAAGCUCGUAGUUGAAUUUCGGGAUCAAUUUAUUGGUCGUGCUAUUGUACGUACUGGUAUUAUUGGUUCCUCCCUUCUGACGAACCAUGAUGUCAUUAAUUUGGGGUUAUGGGGAAUCAGGACUGUUACUUUGAAAAAAUUAGAGUGUUUAAAGCAGGCUCACGCUUGAAUACAUUAGCAUGGAAUAAUGAAAUAGGACGUUUGAUUCUAUUCUGUUGGUUUCUAGGAUCGACGUAAUGAUUAAUAGGGAUAGUUGGGGGCAUUAGUAUUCAAUUGUCAGAGGUGAAAUUCUUGGAUUUAUUGAAGACUAACUACUGCGAAAGCAUUUGCCAAGGAUGUUUUCAUUAAUCAAGAACGAAAGUUAGGGGAUCGAAGACGAUCAGAUACCGUCGUAGUCUUAACCAUAAACUAUGCCGACUAGGGAUCGGAUGAUGUUAAUUUUUUAAUGACUCAUUCGGCGCCUUACG